rnacentral:tRNA from 1 species
GCAGGUGUAGCUCACUGGUAGAGGGUGUGCUUAGUGUGCACAGGGUCCUGGGUUCAAUCCCCAGUACCCCCA